AUUGCAUGGCCCUGGACCUGUGAGUGAAGAGUUAGCUUCAGCUAGCAAGCCUGAUAUACCUGAGCGAGGGGACGACAGCACAGAGGCUUCUGCCAGUAACACUGAGCACCUGACUGGUUAGAGGAGCAAGUGGACAAGCAGAUCCUGGGGCACAGCACAGGGAGAGCACCGAUUCCCCAAGAAAA